rnacentral:rRNA from 1 species
CUACGUGCCAGCAGCCGCGGUAAUACGUAGGGUGCGAGCGUUAAUCGGAAUUACUGGGCGUAAAGCGAGCGCAGACGGUUACUUAAGCAGGAUGUGAAAUCCCCGGGCUCAACCUGGGAACUGCGUUCUGAACUGGGUGACUAGAGUGUGUCAGAGGGAGGUAGAAUUCCACGUGUAGCAGUGAAAUGCGUAGAGAUGUGGAGGAAUACCGAUGGCGAAGGCAGCCUCCUGGGAUAACACUGACGUUCAUGCUCGAAAGCGUGGGUAGCAAACAGGAUUAGAUACCCUGGUAGUCCACGCCCUAAACGAUGUCGAUUAGCUGUUGGGCAACUUGAUUGCUUGGUAGCGAAGCUAACGCGUGAAAUCGACCGCCUGGGGAGUACGGUCGCAAGAUUAAAACUCAAAGGAAUUGACGGGGACCCGCACAAGCGGUGGAUGAUGUGGAUUAAUUCGAUGCAACGCGAAGAACCUUACCUGGUCUUGACAU